CCAUUCAUUCAGUUCAGUGCCCUCCCAAAUCCACAAAAUUGAAAUUCUAAAGCAUUUCAAUAUUUUAUUUGUUCCUGAUUAAUUCUCAUAUCUACUCUUUUUUCUUAAUAUCACCAUUGCUCAUCUUUUGCAUUUGUGAAACUUCUGCUUCUUUUAUUCCUGAUUCUUCAUUUGUUGCUUUGUUUUCAUCACUCUCUCUCUUCUUCCUCUCUUCUUCUUCUUCUCUCUUCUUCCUUUCUUCAUCCUCUAUCUUCUUGCGCUCCAGGAACACAAUCAGACCUCUCAAGGCGAUGUCAGGUUCCUCACUUUUCAUUAGCUGCUCGGCUACUUCUGCAGGAGUAACCUUAGUUGUACCUAUCAAUUCUUCUACCUGUAAGAAAAGUGGGUGAUAUGUAAUCCCCAGGUAAUUGGAUGCCAGCAUUUUGAAUCCACAUGGACUGCAGUAAGACAUGUGGAUGUGCAUAUCCAUUCGACCGGGGCGCAACAGGGCAGGGUCAAGCUUUUCUUUGUGAUUGGUAGUGAAAACUAUGAUUCUUUCAUCCCCACAGCUUGACCACAAUCCAUCCACGAAGUUCAGCAAUCCUGAUAGUGUCACCUGAACCUGAUUUUCUGGAUUAUAACCUCGAUUAGAUCGAGGAUUAAGAGCUCUGGCUUCUGCAAUCCUAUUUUGCAAAUCAAUGGAACAAUCAAUGUCCUCCACCACAAGUAUGGACUUAUUCCCAGUCGAAAUCAACAACUUUCUCAGCUCAGAAUUAGUCCUAAGAUCAGUCAACUCCAAGUCAUAAAUAUCGAACUUGAGAAAAUUUGCCAUGGCAGCAAUCAAGCUUGAUUUCCCAGUCCCUGGUGGCCCAAACAGCAAGUACCCACGUUUCCAAGCCUUACCCACUUUCCUAUAGAACUCCUUCCUCUUCACAAACCUUUCAAGGUCCUCCAUGAUCAUCCUCUUCUCUUCUAUCUCCAUGGCCAACGUAUCAAAGGUAGCAGGAUGAUCAAGGUUCACAGAUUGCCAUGCAUCUCCUCUCCUCCCUGUCAUCCUGUCCAGGCUUAAUGUAAAGAGCUUCAAUG
rnacentral:misc_RNA from 1 species